GGAAGUAAAAGUCGUAACAAGGUUUCCGUAGGUGAACCUGCGGAAGGAUCAUUAAAGAGUAAGGGUGCUCAGCGCCCGACCUCCAACCCUUUGUUGUUAAAACUACCUUGUUGCUUUGGCGGGACCGCUCGGUCUCGAGCCGCUGGGGAUUCGUCCCAGGCGAGCGCCCGCCAGAGUUAAACCAAACUCUUGUUAUUAAACCGGUCGUCCGAGUUAAAAUUUUGAAUAAAUCAAAACUUUCAACAACGGAUCUCUUGGUUCUCGCAUCGAUGAAGAACGCAGCGAAAUGCGAUAAGUAAUGUGAAUUGCAGAAUUCAGUGAAUCAUCGAAUCUUUGAACGCACAUUGCGCCCCUUGGUAUUCCGAGGGGCAUGCCUGUUCGAGCGUCAUUACACCACUCAAGCUAUGCUUGGUAUUGGGUGCCGUCCUUAGUUGGGCGCGCCUUAAAGACCUCGGCGAGGCCUCACCGGCUUUAGGCGUAGUAGAAUUUAUUCGAACGUCUGUCAAAGGAGAGGACUUCUGCCGACUGAAACCUUUUAUUUUUCUAGGUUGACCUCGGAUCAGGUAGGGAUACCCGCUGAACUUAAGCAUAUCAAUAAGCGGAGGA
rnacentral:rRNA from 1 species